UGGUCAGCUGUAUGGUCAGCUGUAUGGCCAGCUGUAUGUCCAGCUGUAUGGUCAGCUGUAUGGCCAGCUGGAUGUCCAGCUGUAUGGUCAGCUGUAUGGCCAGCUGUAUGUCCAGCUGGAUGUCCAGCUGUAUGGCCAGCUGUAUGUCCAGCUGUACGUCCAGCUGUAUGGCCAGCUGUAUGUCCAGCUGUAUGGCCAGCUGUAUGUCCAGCUGUACGUCCAGCUGUAUGGCCAGCUGUAUGUCCAGCUGUAUGUCCAGCUGUACGUCCAGCUGUAUGGCCAGCUGUAUGUCCAGCUCCUUUGUAGUGAUGUCAGUCAGAACAAGACAGGAUUACCUUAUAUUACCUUCUCUCAAUGGACUAAACAACAACAACAACAACAACAACAACAGUUGUUAACAGUUAACGAUUGAUUUGACACUUAAACCAGAGAUGACAAAACAAUGGACCAGCUGAGAACAACAACAACACCUUUUUACUACUACGCCAAAAAGAGCCUGUUUUCCUGAACGAGGACUCUACUAACACGCAAACCAGAACCCGAGAACUGUCCAGGGAAGUAGGUUGUGGGCCGUGCCCUCUGACCUCAAAAGAGCAUUCUGGGUAUGCUCCGAGUCUGUUAGUUUCCCUGAAAAAAACACCACAGACAGCGACUCAAAUGGCACCCUAUUCCCUGUAUAGUGCAUUACGCUUGAACAUGGUCAUAUCCUCUGGUUAAAAGUAGUGCACUAUAUAGGGAAUAGGGUGCCAUUUGAGCUUCAAGCCACCCUCAAGUACCUUGUUUAUGGUUUCUUAUAGUGUUUUUUUUAUAUGAUGCAUAUAAUAUAUCAAUUAGUAUUUAAUGGGGGCCUCCUGGGUGGCGCUGUGCCACCAGAGACUCUGGGUUCGCGCCCAGGUAUUUAAUGGACAAUUGUGUCCUUUUAUAUGAGUUCAAGAAGUUUUGAUUUAGUUUCUUCUUUAGACUGAUGACACAGAGAGGUGUGUUUCUGCUUUAGACUGAUGACACAGAGAGGUGUUUCUGCUUUAGACUGAUGACACAGAGAGGUUUUUCUGCUUUAGACUGAUGACACAGAGAGGUGUUUCUGCUUUAGACUGAUGACACAGAGAGGUGUUUCUGCUUUAGACUGAUGACACAGAGAGGUGUUUCUGCUUUAGACUGAUGACACAGAGAGGUGUUUCUGCUUUAGACUGAUGACACAGAGAGGUGUGUUUCUGCUUUAGACUGAUGACACAGAGAGGUGUUUCUGCUUUAGACUGAUGACACAGAGAGGUGUUUCUGCUUUAGACUGAUGACACAGAGAGGUGUGUUUCUCUGAUUAUACUAUGGUCGUGUCCCAAAUGGCACCCUAUUCCCUACACAGUGAAAAGUAGUCCACUAUUUAAGCAAUAGGGUCCCAUUCAGGAUGCAACCUGUGUGUGUGGGACAACAGUGUUACCUGGGCAACAGUGUUACCUGGGCAACAGUGUUACCUGGGCAACAGUGUUACCUGGGCAACAGUGUUGAUUUGUUAACAUUCAGACUGUAUUCUAAUUAUCUUGAGAGAGGAGAGAGGAUGAGAAGGGGAAAGAGAUCAUUAAGAGAUUAUCCUGAACUUCCUAACAUUGUCCAGGAAGAUGAACAUAGAUUGACCUGUGACCUGGGAAGUUGAACAUAAUAAUGCUGAUCAGUGAUUGGCUGAUGAUAGGCAGAGGGCAGGUAUUACAUAAAGACAGUGUUGGUAGUUUGAAAUUAUGAACAGAAACACAGAGGUUUUUGUAUCUGAAAAGAGUUAACUCCCAAAAGGAGAAAUGUAUUUUAUCGUCUGGUUCCUUUGAUGUGUGUAGGAGACAAAUACUUUGAGUCUUUUUAUUUGUGCAGUGGAAAAUACACUAAAGAAAAAUUGUUUUCCAGA